rnacentral:lncRNA from 1 species
UAAAACUUACUUAAAACUUGUUUAACUUUGAAAGAUUUGAUGGAAGACCAUGAAAACAAUCCAAGGAGAUCAAGAACUCACCUAGGCUAGAAAGAGAGAAGAAUCCUCCUCCUUUUUUCUGGACUCGGUGCCCUUUAUAGAUGAACAACCGCCUCAGCUUAGGCAGCCGAAUCGCAUGCAAAACCAUGCAACGUUCAGCGGCCGAACUCAGACUUUCGGGGGCCGAAUCUCGGGCAGUUUCGGCGGCCGAACUUUACCUUCGGCGGCCGAACAUGGCAAAAUGCCUCAUUGGCCUUUUCUCUUCAAAACUCAAUCCAUUUCCAUUCUAACCCUUUAAAACACUCGAAAACAAUUUAGAAAACCUUUCUCGUACCCUUCUAGAAACCUCUGACAUCCUCGCAUUCCACCGGACGGUAGGAAUUCCGAUGUCUGAAUCUAGCCGGGUAUUACAUUCUUCCCCCCUUUAAGACCAUUCGUCCUCGAAUGUUCACACAACAAACAAACAUGCAAACAAGCAAUUAAGGAAAGCCUAACACCUUCCUCAGAGAAGAGACAGAUAUUACUGGAGUAAACACUCCCGGGUCAUAUACAAUCAUUACCUGACUCUUAACUGCUUAAUCUGUGUCCACACUCUACACUGACUGUUUAUCACUUCUGCCAGUACACAACUGACUUGAUUCUUUCAUCUGACUACUGACGUUCCUUUCUUUUUGGCUCUUCUCAGCUUUAUUCACACUACUCUGGUUACACUAAUCUUUGCUUUUCUUUACUCGACCCGGUCAGAGGAGCAAUAACUCUAAGAAACUGCUAGAUGCCUUACCUAUAGCUUCCACUCUCUACUUACUUUAGCAAUCGUAUUGUGACACAUCACGAUCUACACAGACAUGCCCCGAAAUCGAACUCAUAUUACAGAACUUGGCCUCUAUGCCGUGUUCUCUUAAAAUCUACAACACUCAGUAGAUAAUGGGCAUGCUUCUCUGUUUUUUUUUUUUCUGAACUAUUCUACGCUUUUACUGCGCACUCUGAUCCUUGCCCGCCUUUCUUCUUCUUUACUAUACUGGCUUCUUCUCUUUUGAUCCCUUCCUACUAUCCUGGAUUAACUCUAGCUCUCAACAGCUAGCACCCAGAUUUCAGAUCUAGCUUGGAAACCACUGGCUCCUGCCAGAAGUCUGAAGUAAUACCUGUUUCUAUAGGAUAAACUGAUAAGCGACUUCUGACUGAGAGCAGUUAACAUCUCAUCUGCCUCAUUCAGUAGAUACUGUUUUGUAUACUCAGAGUCGCUGAGCAGUUUUAUCUCUAACCUCUGUUUCAGACUCUUCACUAUAAACUCCUUUGAUCGAUAAAGAUCGCAUCUCUACUCAAUUGCUAAACUGACUUUUCUCUAACUUUCGACAUAUAGUUCCCAACUCUCAGAUCUAUUAUGGAAAACAACCAGUUUCUACUAGCUGUUCCUAUAGAUCAUCCAUUUUGUAUGGGAACAUCUGUACUUGGUAGUGAUUUUGUUCAACUGCUCACAGUUGUUACAAAAUCUCAAGGUUUCAUCUUUCGUUUCUCACAACGACACUGGAACAUUCCAGGGUGAGAUACUAGGUCGGAUCCAACCUUUAUCUACCAAGCUUCUCUAUACUAUUCUGACUAUUCUCUUUCUGCAGGUGCCAUCCUGUAGGGUAGAAGGAAAGAAAUGGUUCCGCGUCCAGACACCACUCCUAUUCCAAACUCAAACUCCCUGAUAGAUGGUAAACCUGACAGCUCGUCUGGGAAAAACAUCUAGAACUCACUAGUUACAGGCAUUGAGGCUGAUUCCCUGAUCUGACUACUAAACUCGCUCACAUGGCUUUUACUAUCUCUCUCACUCUACUGGUGCCAUCCUGCAGCGAAGACUAGGAAUGGUUCUGGGUCUAGACACCAUUCCUAUAUCCCAUCCUAUUCUCUUAGCAGGUGGUACACCUAACGACUUGUAUCUAAACCUUUUCUCUGACUGCGGGCACUAAAACUGGUUCCCCUCUUGAUCUGACUAACUGCUAUGCUCUCUGACACAAGCAAGAAACCUCUGAUAACCUCUCCGAAACAGUUUAAGAGCCGAUAGGGCUGAUAUCAAAUUCCAGGCAUCUCUACACUGUCUCCUCAACAAACUACUUGUGAUCCAUCCUAAUCUCUAAGCCUGACUACUCUGUCUCUGCUAUCUAAGGCAGUACUAUGAGUAGCUAGCCCAUCCACCCCUAGAAUGACAUCAAACAAUCACUCUAGAACCACUAGGUCAGCUGGAAGGCAUCUACUCAUAACUCGCACUGAACUCAACUGGCAGACUGACUUUGCCACUGAUGGAUCACACUUGAGUCUAUUGACCCAAAGAGGACAUUCUAAUCCCAGAAGCUAUCAAACCCUUACUUUCUAUGGCUCUUAAAGCCCUAAGGAAAGCAAAACAUCAGAGUCUCUAAUAGCAGACACAUCAAAACAUAUGGAAGUGAAAAGUACCUGUCACUGCCAUGUCCGAUGUGUGAGCCUCCUGCUGAUUCAAAGCGAAGAUCCAUGCUGGUACUGAUGGACCUUCACCUAGGGAACCUAUGGAAGAAGGAGUGAUCUCGCUCCCUCUGCCUCUGCCCAGCGCCAUGGCUAGAGCUCCUGGCUGAGCCACUCUGUCUGAGGCUGUUUGCUGGGACUGUGUUAUCAAAGUCGCGGUGGAACACUCACGUGCUAUGUGCCCCUCCCGUUCGCACCUGAAACAUGCUGUUGUCCCUACUAGACAGACUCCCUUGUGCCUCCUACCACACCUCAUACAUCUAGAGCUAUCCCAACCAGAACUCGAGCCAUCAUUAAAACCCAUGCUAGAUUUGACCCUCUUCCAGAACUCUCUUUUCUUUGACCCUUUCAGGCCUCUAACUUUUUUUUUACUCUUUGUGGCAGCUUCGCCCAGAGGGAAAAGAUCAAUAUUCUCUGGGUAUUUCUCUACACUCCUAUUUUCUGUCUGCCUUAGCUGCUCAAAUUCACUCUCCUUACACUCCCUUGAGCUAUCUGGAAAAACCCAUCCGACAAACUCUGUAGCAAACUGCUCCCAGGAUAAGCUUUCUACCCUCGGGUCCACAUACUGGUUGAACCAUUCCCUUGCCUUCUUACCUUUCAAUGUAACCCCUGCCAUCUGAAUGGCUCUACUCUCACUAGCUCCCAACUCAUCAGUUAUCAUCUUGACCGUUCUGAGAUACUCAAAAGGGUCAUCACCAGUCUCAAACUUGGGAACAUCCAACCUCAAAUAGUCUGUCAUCUGCACCUUACUUCCUCCAGGUGAACUAGGCUUAGGUGUUUGGACAACUGGGGCUACUGGUUCUACUGGUGGUGGAGGAGGUACAACAUGCCCUGGGUUAAGGGUUGCUGAACUUGGAUAACCAAAGAAGGGUGGAAACAUGGUAUAUUGUGGAUAUGGCGGUGGAUAUGGCAGAUAAAAGGAAGGAUAAGGCAUAAAGGUGGGAUAUGGGUUAUACCUAGGGAAACCCGCUGUACCACCCAUCGGAUACCCUGACCCCCACGGGUAGGGCGGAUACUGAGGUGGAACAAAUCUCGAGGCCUGAGUGCCUCCUUGGGACUCACCCAUAUCUGCUCCUAACAUACUCAUGCCCAAGCUACCUUCUCUGCUCUGCUCAUCCUCCUCUACUUCCCUCAUAUCCCCUGACAUACCACUCUGAACGACUCCCCUUCUACUCUCAUCAACAGACCUUCUAGGGUCCCUUGAUGUACCUUCUCUGCUUAAUCUAUCUGACGUUGCCCUUUGCAAAACAGGGAGAUGGGCAUCCAUGUCCUCAUUCUCCGGUGGAGCUCCAGUCAAUCUAGCAGAUCCACGAGUUCCUCUCAUCCUGCCUCUGAAAAGCACAACAUCACACAAAACAUCAAAUGAUCCAUGUGAGGGCACAUGAAUCCACAGCACAUAUAUAUCACAUAUCAAGAAUGCACAUGUAUCUCGUCAUAGCAUUUCACAUCAUCAUGCAAGACAGGACUCCACAUCCUAUCCUAGUGGACAUGAUUUUACUUAUUGUGCUUACCCUCCUACACAAGACAAUACCUCUUUUCGAUGUGGGAUAUCUCUAGUCCUUGAGCAAAGAUGCUCAACACAUCGUACUCUUGAGGCCCUAUGCUCUGAUACCAAUCUGUAACAGCCCGGAAACCGGUACCCCUCUGUAACUAUCCGAACCAUCACUGGCACUAGGAUCCUGAUCGGCGUAAGGCCUUCGGGACCCGUAGCAAGCCGACUAUACUCUCUGCGUACUUGAUAAAUCCCAUACAUGAUAAAAAAUACUCAACAAUCCUGUAAAACUUUUCAGGCUUAACUACUGCUACUUAGAUAUGCAAAUCUAAAAUGGCCCUCAGGGCCUAUACUAGUGACUACUAUCUGCUGUGGGUUAAGGGAUUGAAACCCUUUUAAUCUGUAACACAAUCCACUGGUAUCUCAUCAAAGCCAUACAUUAAGCCUGAUACACACAUUUCUCAUCAAGAAACGUAAAACAGGAUUCAUGUACAAGGGAUUAAUCAUAUAUCACACUAAAGCAAAGACAUUAGGGAAAGCACAAGUCUAUCCAGUAUAUGACAGUACAUAUCUAUACAUUACAUUACAACUAAUCUUUUAUUUACAUCAUGCCCACUACGCUAUUACAAACAUACAUUCAUGCAUAUCUUUCUUUAUUCUUGUUGACUCUGACUUCCCAUAGCUAUCUUGCAACCUGCAAAACUGGGGUUAAGGGAGUGGGAUGAGCUCUAUAGCCCAGUGAGUAGGAACAAUAAAACAAUUGAUUCAUUACAUGCUCUCAUGGAAUGCAUCACAUCACAAACAUAGCAUCUCACGGAUGAACUUGUCACCAAUAGCCCUCUACUACAUGUCAUAACAUGUCCCACUGUGCCAAGGAGACUAGGUCAUCACCUGGACUUCUCUUAUCUGUCUCAUAUCAUAACAUGUCCCACUGUGCCAAGGAGACUAGGUCAUCACCUGGACUUCUCUGAUCUCUGAUCUGACAGGCUGUCUGUCUAACUCAUAGUACCAGGAGUGACCUGGACUAUCCAGGAGCGACCUGGUAUGGCUAUCUCAUGCCAUAUCUCAUCUAAUCUCAUAGUAUCUCUGACUAUAUCAAGGGCUGACUCGCGGUUGUCGAAGCCGGUCAAAAAUAACCUUUCUGGUUAUCAACAAUUUACAACUGCAGAUAGUGGUGAAAGGAUCGAAUCCACAGUGAAUUGAAGACUUACCUAUUUUCCUUAUCAAGACCAAUAAAAUAAACUGAAAAAAAAAAACUGCAAAGAAGAAAACUGAAAAUGAGAUAAACUGAAACGAGAUAAAACUGAAACGAGAUAAAACUGAAAUAAGAUAAAACUGAAACGAGAUAAAACUGAAAACGAGAUAAACUGAAACGAGAUAAAAUUGAAAUGAGAUAAAACUGAAAGGAGAUAAAACUGAAAACGAGAUAAAUUGAAACGAGAUAAAACUAAAAUGAGAUAAAACUGAAAGAGAAAUAAACGGAAAGCAAAAUAAACUAAAACGAGAUAAAACUGAAACUAACUAAACUGUAAGUAAAAUGGGGGGUUUUGAGAUGGAUUUAAUUAAUCUAAAACUGAAAGCAAUAAAAAUAAGGCAAAUAAUAAAAAUAAAGAGAAAUAAACAAUAAGAAAGAUCUAGUUGAAGAAUUGGAUCCACUUUAGUUGUUGGGAUUGAUCAUUGACACUUAGUUUCCUUUGGGUUGAUUCAAUAGAUUAGUUAUGGAGAUGGAAGACGCUUCUCACCACCAUUAUCUCUCCUUAUUAUUAAACCAAUUAGGGAACGUCCUCUAAUUAAUUACUAAUUAACAAAUUGCCAAGGAACGUCCUUGGGCCUCAGGCAUCAAAACAAUUGUCAAUUGCAUUAAGAAAUAGAGAGAUCCAAUCCUAGCUACCCAAACGUAUGGAGAUAACGCUAGAUCAUACAAUUUCCUUGGGUUUUAUCCCAAGUGUUCUUAUGUAAGAAUAAUCUAAGCAAUUACGGACUUAAAUUAUCCAAGCUAACAUAUUAUUACUUUGCAAUCAAGAAUCAACGUAGAUCUAAACAACAAAGCAAUAUUGAAAUCAAGCUUGAAAUUGCAUAAAUAUUGAACAACCAAAAGUUAAACAAUGUUUGAUCAAGUCUCCCAAUCCAUAAAACAACCAAAGUAUCACCUAAUCUUCAACUAGAAUAAAAGAUUUCAGCCUCUCAUGGCUGAAAUAAAACUAAAAAUAAAAUAAAAGAAGAAAGGUAGAAGAAGAGAUGUGAAUUUCGUAGGUGUCUCCCAAGGGGAGCUUAAGGGACAUGUAGAGGCUCCUUAUGUGGCUUUUUAUAGUUGAAAAGUGUUGCCCUAGGUCAUACUUACUGUCCAAGAGGUAUUUUCUGCCCAAGAUGUGUCUGAAAAGGAAAGAAUCGCGCUUUUCGGCUUCAGAAGGAAGGCUGCGCGAAAAUGCACUGCGGAUGGAAGUUGGUGCGCGCGGUUUGGUCUCAGAAAGGGAAGGAGGCGCAGAUUAUGCUUCCUAAAUAAGUUUAGAUGCUGAUCUUACUUCCUAAUUAGUGUAGAGGCUGCCCAAGAUGCUGCCUAUGUGCAACUUGCUGCCCAAGUUGUUGCAGAAAAGGAAGGUGGCGCGCAGAUGGCUUUCAGAAGAGGAAAGCGCGCAGAUUGUUUCUGAAUAGGAAGGAUGCACGAAUUUUGAUCUUCAAAGGGGAAGAUAUGCUGUCCAUACAUUCCUUUUUAGGUGGAGCCUCUUUUGAAAUUUGAAUGUUGAACGCAGAAGAGGAAGAGCAUCUCUUUGAGAUCUUGCUGCCUAAAUAGGAAGAUAUGACUGCUGCAGUGUGUGCACAUCUUUGAACAAGGAAAGAAAGAUCUGCGAUUUGAAUUUCAAAUAAUCUUCUGACUGAGCUUUCCUUGUUUGCUUUUGCUUCUGCACUUUCCUCAUUUAAAAACUUUCCUUUUCUGAAAACUUUCCUUAUUUGGAAACUUUCCCUUUUCGGCACUUUCCAUAUAUGGCACUUUUUAGCUGUUUUAAGAGCAUUUUCUCCAGAUUGUCUCUUUACAUCUAAUAUCUGCAAAACAUAAUUAAAACCACAAAAUUAAGCAGAAAAAAUGUAAAUAAACAUCAAGAACAUAAUGAUAAAAUGGACUAAAAUAUGCUCUAUCAAGGGCUAAGGAUCAUCCAACAUUCAUCCAUACACAUAUCAUCUUAUGCAAUGCAUCAUAUUCGUGGAUUCUAAUGCAACACAACCUAAUACAUAACAUGGCAUUUUAUGAUGCAUGGAUCAUGCUAGAAGCGUGUCAUUUUGUCAAGUAAAAUAUUAAGUUUAGUUCCACUCACCUGUAGCCAAUGCUUGGCUAACUCUGGGCUACCUCUAACUCUGAAGCAGCUACUACUGCUAAACACUUCGGUUCCUCGGGUCCAAUCCUACAAUGGAGGACGCAAAUGAGGCACUAAACAUACUCUAUGCAAUUGAUAAAUAACUCCCCACUAGAACACCUCAAAAUAUGCAUGCAAAACAAGUAAAGGAAGGUUGGACAGGGCACCUUCGGCGGCCGAAUGUCUCCUCUAGAGACGAAAGUCGGGCAUGGAAGACCAUGAAAACAAUCCAAGGAGAUCAAGAACUCACCUAGGCCAGAAAGAGAGAAGAAUCCUCCUCCUUUUUUCUAGACUUGGUGCCCUUUAUAGAUGAACAACCGCCUCAGCUUCGGCAGCCGAAUCGCAUGCAAAACCAUGCAACGUUCGGCGGCCGAACUCAGACUUUCGGGGGCCGAAUCUC